rnacentral:lncRNA from 1 species
UCCACUAAAACUUUUUGUAAAAUAUCUAAUCCAAUCCAUCCAUUAUAAAUAAAAUCCAUCCAAUCCAUCCAUUAUCAUAUUUUUAGUGGAUGGAUAUCCAUCCAUCCAUUAUUUUCUUUGAAUUUUUUUAUUUUUUUUUAGAAAAUCGUAUUUUAAAUAUUAAUUUUUUUAUUUUUGAAAAAAUUGAUUUUUUUCCUUUUUGAAAAUUACUUAUUUUUAUUUUGUAU